rnacentral:tRNA from 1 species
CAAAACAUAGCUUAAAUAAAGCACUUCGCUUACACCGAGCUGACGUCUGUUGAACCCAGACUGUUUUGAG